CUCAGGUUGGAUGCAGGUCGGGUUCGGAUCCUUAAUUUCCAGGUCCAAAUCGGGUUCAGGUCAACACCAGUUCUGACUUGAGUCGGUUUUGGAUCGCCACAGUACAGGUCAAAAAUAGUUUAGACUCGGGUCAGUUUCAGUCAGUUUUGCAGGUCGGGUAAGCUUUUUACAGCCCUAAUUAGAAAUGUAUGUUGGGGUUAUGUUUUGAAUUGAUGCACAGCUGACCAAUAUCAGUGGUAAUCUAUGGGGAAAGACUCUCCAGGGUGCUAGGGCACAAAGAGUAGAGUAUCUUUUGUUGCACGCAUUUCAUGCAAAAAAGUAUAUUGUCCCAGACAAGUUUUCACCUCACACUAAGGAAACAAAAGUUUUGAAAAGGAGAAUAACUCAUGGUGUUGAGGAUGGGAAUAGGGAUGAUGUGAAUCUUGAAGAGAAAGCUCAUAACGAACAAGGAAAAGUCAAAAAGGGUCCUGCCUAUGCAGGUGGAUUGGUUUUGGAGCCAAAAAGAGGACUGUAUGACAAAUAUGUAUUGUUACUGGAUUUCAAUAGCCUUUACCCAUCCAUAAUUCAGGAAUACGAUAUAUGCUCCACAACAGUUGAAAGAUUUCCUGAUGGAUUAGUUCCUUGUUUGCCCUCUAGUAAAACAGUUGGGGUUCUACCUGAGGUAUAAUCUCCUCCUGGUUUUGCUUGAUUUGAACAGUUGAAUUUGCCAAGUUCUGUCGAAACUUUAUUACAAUCUGCUUCUUUAUUUGUGUUAUAGUUGUCCAUAUAGUUCUUUAAGUAAAUGGUCCAACUGUCUGGAAGUGUG